UGGGUAACACUAACUGGAGGACCGAACCGACUAAUGUUGAAAAAUUAGCGGAUGACUUGUGGCUGGGGGGGAAAGGCCAAUCAAACCGGGAGAUAGCUGGUUCUCCCCGAAAGCUAUUUAGGUAGCGCCUCGUGAAUUCAUCUCCGGGGGUAGAGCACUGUUUCGGCAAGGGGGUCAUCCCGACUUACCAACCCGAUGCAAACUGCGAAUACCGGAGAAUGUUAUCACGGGAGACACACGGCGGGUGCUAACGUCCGUCGUGAAGAGGGAAACAACCCAGACCGCCAGCUAAGGUCCCAAAGUCAUGGUUAAGUGGGAAACGAUGUGGGAAGGCCCAGACAGCCAGGAUGUUGGCUUAGAAGCAGCCAUCAUUUAAAGAAAGCGUAAUAGCUCACUGGUCGAGUCGGCCUGCGCGGAAGAUGUAACGGGGCUAAACCAUGCACCGAAGCUGCGGCAGCGACGCUGAUGCGUUGUUGGGUAGGGGAGCGUUCUGUAAGCCUGUGAAGGUGUGCUGUGAGGCAUGCUGGAGGUAUCAGAAGUGCGAAUGCUGACAUAAGUAACGAUAAAGCGGGUGAAAAGCCCGCUCGCCGGAAGACCAAGGGUUCCUGUCCAACGUUAAUCGGGGCAGGGUGAGUCGACCCCUAAGGCGAGGCCGAAAGGCGUAGUCGAUGGGAAACAGGUUAAUAUUCCUGUACUUGGUGUUACUGCGAAGGGGGGACGGAGAAGGCUAUGUUGGCCGGGCGACGGUUGUCCCGGUUUAAGCGUGUAGGCUGGUUUUCCAGGCAAAUCCGGAAAAUCAAGGCUGAGGCGUGAUGACGAGGCACUACGGUGCUGAAGCAACAAAUGCCCUGCUUCCAGGAAAAGCCUCUAAGCAUCAGGUAACAUCAAAUCGUACCCCAAACCGACACAGGUGGUCAGGUAGAGAAUACCAAGGCGCUUGAGAGAACUCGGGUGAAGGAACUAGGCAAAAUGGUGCCGUAACUUCGGGAGAAGGCACGCUGAUAUGUAGGUGAAGUCCCUCGCGGAUGGAGCUGAAAUCAGUCGAAGAUACCAGCUGGCUGCAACUGUUUAUUAAAAACACAGCACUGUGCAAACACGAAAGUGGACGUAUACGGUGUGACGCCUGCCCGGUGCCGGAAGGUUAAUUGAUGGGGUCAGCGCAAGCGAAGCUCUUGAUCGAAGCCCCGGUAAACGGCGGCCGUAACUAUAACGGUCCUAAGGUAGCGAAAUUCCUUGUCGGGUAAGUUCCGACCUGCACGAAUGGCGUAAUGAUGGCCAGGCUGUCUCCACCCGAGACUCAGUGAAAUUGAACUCGCUGUGAAGAUGCAGUGUACCCGCGGCAAGACGGAAAGACCCCGUGAACCUUUACUAUAGCUUGACACUGAACAUUGAGCCUUGAUGUGUAGGAUAGGUGGGAGGCUUAGAAGUGUGGACGCCAGUCUGCAUGGAGCCGACCUUGAAAUACCACCCUUUAAUGUUUGAUGUUCUAACGUUGACCCGUAAUCCGGGUUGCGGACAGUGUCUGGUGGGUAGUUUGACUGGGGCGGUCUCCUCCUAAAGAGUAACGGAGGAGCACGAAGGUUGGCUAAUCCUGGUCGGACAUCAGGAGGUUAGUGCAAUGGCAUAAGCCAGCUUGACUGCGAGCGUGACGGCGCGAGCAGGUGCGAAAGCAGGUCAUAGUGAUCCGGUGGUUCUGAAUGGAAGGGCCAUCGCUCAACGGAUAAAAGGUACUCCGGGGAUAACAGGCUGAUACCGCCCAAGAGUUCAUAUCGACGGCGGUGUUUGGCACCUCGAUGUCGGCUCAUCACAUCCUGGGGCUGAAGUAGGUCCCAAGGGUAUGGCUGUUCG
rnacentral:rRNA from 1 species